CUGCAUGGCGUGUCGUCAGCUCGUGUCGUGAGAUGUUGGGUUAAGGUCCCGCAACGAGCGCAACCCUUGCCUUUAGUUGCCAGCAGUUCGGCUGGGCACUCUAAAGGGAACUGCCGGUGUUAAACCGGAGGAAGGUGGGGAGUGACGUCAAGUCCUCAUGGCCUUUAUGACCAGGGCUACACACGUACUACAAUGGCCGAUACAAAGGGCAGCGACACUGCGAGGUGAAGCCAAUCCCGUAAAAUCGGUCUCAGUCCGGAUUGGAGUCUGCAACUCGACUCCAUGAAGUUGGAAUCGCUAGUAAUCGUGGAUCAGCAUGCCACGGUGAAUACGUUCCCGGGCCUU
rnacentral:rRNA from 1 species